UGGGGGAUAUUGCACAAUGGGCGAAAGCCUGAUGCAGCGACGCCGCGUGGGGGAUGAAGGCCUUCGGGUUGUAAACUUCUUUUGCUCUGAACAAGGCAUGCUAAUGGGUGUGUUGAGUGUAGGGGUUGAUUAGCGCCGGCUAGCUACGUGCCAGCAGCCGCGGUAAUACGUAGGGCGCGAGCGUUGUCCGGAAUUAUUGGGCGUAAAGGGCUUGUAGGUGGCUGGUUGCGUCUGUCGUGAAAGCUCAUGGCUUAACUGUGGGUUUGCGGUGGGUACGGGCUGGCUUGAGUGCAGUAGGGGAGGCUGGAAUUCCUGGUGUAGCGGUGGAAUGCGCAGAUAUCAGGAGGAAUACCGGUGGCGAAGGCGGGUCUCUGGGCUGUUACUGACACUGAGGAGCGAAAGCAUGGGGAGCGAACAGG
rnacentral:rRNA from 1 species